rnacentral:hammerhead_ribozyme from 1 species
GCACAGCUGAAGAGUCCCAUACUAGGGUGAAACGACCGUCCAGUGC